AAUCUGGGGCCCUCGGCCUCCGAGUUGUAAUUUGGAGAGGCAUCUUCGGGGGGGAGCGCCGGCCAAUGUUCCUUGGAACAGGACGUCGCAGAGGGUGAGAAUCCCGUGCCAGGCCGGCUGCCUCCUCCCGGGUGAAGGGCCUUCGACGAGUCGAGUUGUUUGGGAAUGCAGCUCCAAGUGGGUGGUAAAUUUCAUCUAAAGCUAAAUACCGGCGGGAGACCGAUAGCGCACAAGUAGAGUGAUCGAAAGAUGAAAAGCACUUUGAAAAUAGAGUCAAAAAGUACGUGAAAUUGUUGAAAGGGAAGCGCUUGAGACCAGACUCAGACCCGAGCAAACACCGUGCCCCUCGGGGCCGUGCAAUUGCCCGGGGCUGGGCCAGCAUCAGUCGGCGUGGCGGGACAAAGGCGUGGGGAAUGUGGCUCCCCUCGGGGAGUGUUAUUAGGCCCACGCUGAAUGCCGCCGACGUCGACUGAGGACCGCGCCUCGGCUAGGAUGCUGGCUUAAUGGCCUUCAGCGACCCGUCUUGAAACACGGA
rnacentral:rRNA from 1 species